rnacentral:rRNA from 1 species
UACGUAGGGUGCAAGCGUUAUCCGGAAUUAUUGGGCGUAAAGAGCUCGUAGGCGGUUUGUCGCGUCUGCUGUGAAAACCCGAGGCUCAACCCCGGGCCUGCAUUCGAUACGGGCAGACUAGAGUUCGGUAGGGGAGUCUGGAAUUCCUGGUGUAGCGGUGAAAUGCGCAGAUAUCAGGAGGAACACCGGUGGCGAAGGCGGGACUCUGGGCCGAUACUGACGCUGAGGAGCGAAAUCGUGGGGAGCAAACAGG